rnacentral:rRNA from 1 species
GUUUUUUAGAAUUUAAUAAAAGAUUUAUUCUGCUCAAUGAUUUAUUAAAUAGCUGCAGUAUUUUAACUGUGCAAAGGUAGCAUAAUGAAUAGUUUUUUAAUUGAGAACUGGGAUGAAGGAGUGGAUAGUUAUAAUUUGUCUUUGUUUUAAUUAAAAUUGAAUUUGACUUGUAACUAAAAAGGUUUACGGAUUUAUAAGGGACGAGAAGACCCUUUAGAACUUAAAGGAAUUUUUUUUUAAUGGAACAUUAUUUUUUAUUGGGGUGAUAAAUAGAAUAAUAUAACUUUUUUUUUAUUUUACAUUAAUUAAUGAAGUUUAUGAAUUUUUUAAAAGGAAAUUUAAGAUAAGUUACCUUAGGGAUAACAGCAUAAUUUUUUUGGAAAGUUCUUAUUGAUAAAAUAAGUUUAUGACCUCGAUGUUGAAUUAAGAAAAAAUGAAGGUGUAGAAAUUUUUUUAUUUAGGUCUGUUCGACCUUUAAAAUCUUACA